UACGUAGGGUGCAAGCGUUGUCCGGAAUUAUUGGGCGUAAAGAGCUCGUAGGCGGUUUGUCGCGUCUGCUGUGAAAACGCGAGGCUCAACCUCGCGCCUGCAGUGAGUACGGGCAGACUAGAGUGUGGUAGGGGAGAUUGGAAUUCCUGGUGUAGCGGUGGAAUGCGCAGAUAUCAGGAGGAACACCGAUGGCGAAGGCAGAUCUCUGGGCCAUUACUGACGCUGAGGAGCGAAAGCGUGGGGAGCGAACAGG
rnacentral:rRNA from 1 species